CGACUCCAUGAAGUCGGAAUCGCUAGUAAUCGUGGAUCAGAAUGCCACGGUGAAUACGUUCCCGGGCCUUGUACACACCGCCCGUCACACCAUGGGAGUGGGUUGCAAAAGAAGUAGGUAGCUUAACCUUCGGGAGGGCGCUUACCACUUUGUGAUUCAUGACUGGGGUGAAGUCGUAACAAGGUAACCGUAGGGGAACCUGCGGUUGGAUCACCUCCUUACCUUAAAGAA
rnacentral:rRNA from 2 species